GACGAACCGUGCGAACGUUGUUCGGAAUCACUGGGCUUAAAGGGCGCGUAGGCGGCUUGCCAAGUCAGGGGUGAAAUCUUUCGGCUUAACCGGAAAAGUGCCUUUGAUACUGGCAGGCUAGAGGGAGGUAGGGGCAUGCGGAACUUCCGGUGGAGCGGUGAAAUGCGUUGAUAUCGGAAGGAACGCCGGCGGCGAAAGCGGCGUGCUGGACCUCUUCUGACGCUGAGGCGCGAAAGCUAGGGGAGCAAACGGG
rnacentral:rRNA from 1 species